UACGGGGGGAGCAAGCGUUGUUCGGAUUUACCGGGCGUAAAGGGCGCGUAGGCGGCCACCGCAAGUCGACUGUGAAAUCUCCGGGCUUAACCCGGAAAGGUCAGCCGAUACUGCGGGGCUAGAGUGCAGAAGGGGCAACUGGAAUUCUCGGUGUAGCGGUGAAAUGCGUAGAUAUCGAGAGGAACACCUGCGGCGAAGGCGGGUUGCUGGGCUGACACUGACGCUGAUGCGCGAAAGCUAGGGGAGCGAACGGG
rnacentral:rRNA from 1 species